ACCCUACUCUAAUAAGGUUUGAUAUCUGGAGCUCAUAGGUGGGAGACAGCUAAUACAUACCUACAAGACAUUUAUUGCAUAGUCAAACCAUGGAUCCAGAGAAACAAGUCAAUAAGUCAAAUCAAGAUGUGCAUGUGUGGCGACUGAAUGGUGUAUGGUGAUAAUGGUGAUAAUGAUGAAAACAAUGGUGAAAGUCUAAUUCUACGUUUGCUCUUUUGAGGGGAUACAUACCUUUCUUGCACUUUGAAGCUUUUUGAGGGGAAUGAGAUGCUCUAUAUUUUCUUUUUCUUUUCUCUCAGGUGGGUAU
rnacentral:lncRNA from 1 species